rnacentral:lncRNA from 1 species
GGGAAAUCAUCAGGCACAGGAGAUUCCCAGAAAAGAGUACGAAACUGAAACUGAGGACCAGUCUUGCUGCCCUAAGUUGGAUGCCACAGUCAGCAACAAGCCAUUGAGCUUUGUUCUCAGCCUCUGUCCUAGGCUGCCAAGACACGCGUGCCAAUUCAAACAAUUCCACCUCUUACCUCCAGAGUCCCAGCCCCUGAAAAUGAGCUGUCCAAAGGAUCAACCCACUGAAUCCAGCUGUGACCCACUCACCUCUGCUGAUUCACCAGCCUUGGACUGAACCUCCUACACCCGAGCCUUCAACACUCAAUACCCAACACCGCAGAUGGCAGGCACGUGAGCCCAGAGACGCAGAAAAGACACCAUGACUGUGGGUCCCUUUCAGCACUUCACACAGCCGACAUCUCCUUAAUUCUGCCUCAGCCGACUUCUGCAGCUACCCAUUCCCAGCCUAUCACUUCACACUCAUAAAUAUCAGAGAUGCUUCCAUUUCCCCACUAUUUCUACAGAGUGGGCUGAAGCUCUGGCUUUAUCCUGACCUGGCUGAGAGUCCCUUGCCUUAUUCUCUCUGUGUGCAUCUCAGAUACUCUGAAGGCUCUAUUGAAGGCUCGAUUCCCAUCCAACUCAUGUGCAUCGUUCAUUAAUUCACUUAGCAAGCAUACACUGAACAUUAUGCCUGGCAGGCACAGACAGCUUGAGGUAGCGCUGGUUAGGAGACUGAAGUGAAUAAGACCAGUAAAAGCCCCUCCCCUCCUGGAAUGUAUAUGUUUAUGAAAGAGACAGAAAACAGAGCAGGUUAAGUGUGCACAUAUAGCUCUACCUACCAUGCACGGGGCCCAGAGUUCAAUUUUCAGGAGUGCAAAAUAAAAAUCAAACUGG